rnacentral:rRNA from 1 species
GAUGAACGCUGGCGGCGUGCCUAAUACAUGCAAGUCGAGCGAACUGAUUAGAAGCUUGCUUCUAUGACGUUAGCGGCGGACGGGUGAGUAACACGUGGGCAACCUGCCUGUAAGACUGGGAUAACUUCGGGAAACCGAAGCUAAUACCGGAUAGGAUCUUCUCCUUCAUGGGAGAUGAUUGAAAGAUGGUUUCGGCUAUCACUUACAGAUGGGCCCGCGGUGCAUUAGCUAGUUGGUGAGGUAACGGCUCACCAAGGCAACGAUGCAUAGCCGACCUGAGAGGGUGAUCGGCCACACUGGGACUGAGACACGGCCCAGACUCCUACGGGAGGCAGCAGUAGGGAAUCUUCCGCAAUGGACGAAAGUCUGACGGAGCAACGCCGCGUGAGUGAUGAAGGCUUUCGGGUCGUAAAACUCUGUUGUUAGGGAAGAACAAGUACGAGAGUAACUGCUCGUACCUUGACGGUACCUAACCAGAAAGCCACGGCUAACUACGUGCCAGCCGCCGCCGUAA